rnacentral:misc_RNA from 1 species
UACGAAGGGGGCGAGCGUUAUCCGGAAUUACUGGGCGUAAAGCGCGUGCAGGCGGCUGUGCAAGUCGGACGUGAAAGCUCCUGGCUCAACUGGGAGAGGCCGUUCGAAACUGCAUAGCUUGAGGACGGUAGAGGCGAGUGGAAUUCCCGGUGUAGUGGUGAAAUGCGUAGAUAUCGGGAGAAACACCAGAGGCGAAGGCGGCUCGCUGGGCCGUGACCGACGCUGAGACGCGAAAGCCAGGGGAGAGAACGGG